rnacentral:rRNA from 1 species
UACGAAGGGGCUAGCGUUGUUCGGAAUUACUGGGCGUAAAGCGCACGUAGGCGGAUUGUAAGUCAGGGGUGAAAUCCCGGGGCUCAACCUCGGAACUGCCUUUGAUACUGCAAGUCUUGAGUCCGAUAGAGGGUGAGUGGAAUUCCUAGUGUAGAGGUGAAAUUCGUAGAUAUUAGGAAGAACACCAGUGGCGAAGGCGGCUCACUGGAUCGGUACGUGACGCUGAGGUGCGAAAGCGUGGGGAG